CAGUAGCCGCGGGAAUACGGAGGGUGCGAGCGUUAAUCGGAAUUACUGGGCGUAAAGCGUACGCAGGCGGUUUGUUAAGUCAGAUGUGAAAUCCCCGAGCUUAACUCGGGAACUGCAUUUGAAACUGGCAGGCUAGAGUCUCGUAGAGGGGGGUAGAAUUCCAGGUGUAGCGGUGAAAUGCGUAGAGAUCUGGAGGAAUACCGGUGGCGAAGGCGGCCCCACGGACGAAGACUGACGCUCAGGUACGAAAGCGUGGGGAGCAAACAGGAUUAGAUACCCCAGUAGUCCCUGUCUCUUAUAC
rnacentral:rRNA from 1 species